rnacentral:lncRNA from 1 species
AUCUCUAAAUCUCUUAGACUCUAUGGCAUUCACAGUUUGCUCGUUAAUAUUGACACUCGCAUCCAUAUGCAAAUGAUAAAAACCAUCAAUCAAGUAAGCACAUGUAACAACUUUAUUUUCAAAAUAAAUUGAACACAUAUCUUUAUUGAAAUGAAAAUUAUAGUUAUCCUGUGCCAGCACAAAUAUGAAAAUCAAAUUCCUACCGGU